GGGGACCCGUAAUGGUUUUAGGUUAUAAAUGCAGUUUUAUAGUCCUUGAGAAACUAAAACAUAAGGUGCAAAAAAUUUUGUUCUACGACCAAAACUGACAAAGUUAUGGGCAAAAUACCGAACAAGGUUUUCUGACCGCGCGAAUACAAGCGAUGACGUCACAAUUUCUCAACGCUCGCCGCUGAACCACAGCGCGCCCCGCGCUGUUUAUUCUGUUCGCGAUACUCGUCCAACACGGAGCGUAACGUCACCAGUUUAUACCCAAUCGAUUAAUAAGUGAUUUGAUUUGUUUAAUAUUAGAAGGUUUUAUUAUAAUAUAACAAAUCAAAGGUAGAAACAAGGUAGAUAUCGGUUUUGAGCAAGCGCAAUCCGAUAAUCUACCUAAAUGGUAUUUGAUUAUCUUAGUAAUCAUUUAAACUACACAAGCGCUGAAAUUCGUGGUUGGAAACUUCAGAGGUCAGGGCGUGAAUCAUAUGGUGAUGAAGCUGUGGGAUUUGUUCAAGUGCAAAAAACAGGAGAUAUAUGCACAGUCAAAGCAAAAAUUACACCAAAACAUAAAAUAAAGGGUAAAGCUUAUUGCUGCAUUUACUUGUGAUGAAACACAAGAAAUAAUACUAAACAUUGAGUGUCAUGAUUGUGCUGCUCAACUGGGAGGUUGUAAGCACGGUGUAGCAUUUCUUAUGUGACUUCACAGACGAAGCGAGGAACCAUCCCCAACAGAAAAAAGUGUUAUUGGACUAAGCCUAAAUUAGCUACGGUGGGCACCACUUUAAAAAUUAUAAAGGCUAAAGAUAUGGGAUCAGGCACACCAAAAAAUCAAGAUGACAGUUAUGUUAAAGGUCAAUUUGUAGAAGCUGUAAAAAAACGGUACAAGAAAAAUCUAUAUAUAUCAUAACCAGCUGGCACAACCAGCUGGCGUACCACAAAGCGCGUUAAAAAAAUGUCAUUACAUGUAUUAAUAAGUGAGUUUAGAAAAGAGGGUAUAGAUAUAAACGAUGCAGCUCAUUUUAUUGACUUCUGCUCAAAUCGGAU